UCCGAUAUGGUGUAGUGGCCAACAUUCCGCGUUUUCACCGCGGCGCCCGGGGUUCGAUUCCCCGUAUCGGAG
rfam:Valsa mali strain 03-8 chromosome 8, whole genome shotgun sequence.